CAAGUUCUGGGUGGCAAAGGUGUGGUACUUCUGGUUUGCUUGCAUACGCUUUGUCGUAUGUUAACAAGUCAGAUAGUUUACUUUGAGAAAAAUAGCGUGUUCAAAGCAGGCGUUGAUUUGCCUAAAACUUGUGCCUUUCUCUUGUGUCAAAGCAAGUUUAAAGGUGCGACUUGAAUACAUUAGCAUGGGAUAAUGGAAUAGGACAUUGGUUCUGUGUUUCGACUCCGAUCUUAGGGCCUUCUUUUUAGGCCUGGUUCGAGGACCGAUGUAAUGAUCAACAGGGACAGUUGGGGACAUUCAUACUCCAUGGCUAGAGGUGAAAUUCUUGGAUUCAUGGAAGAUGAACUAGUGCGAAAGCAUUUGUCAAAGAUGUUUUCACUGAUCAAGAACGAAAGUUAGGGGAGCAAAGACGAUCAGAUACCGUCGUAGUCUUAACCAUAAACGAUGCCGACUCGGGAUUGGUGGACGUCAUGGCUUCCUGCUUUUCUCACGAGAAGCAGGAGGCAAGCGACUCCACCAGCACCUCCGUUAAUCAAAACACACAAGGGAAACCGUUAAGUGUUUGGGUUCCGGGGGAGUAUGGUCGCAAGGCUGAAACUUAAAGGAAUUGACGGAAGGGCACCACCAGGAGUGGAGUUUGCGGCUUAAUUUGACUCAACACGGGGAAACUCACCAGGUCCAGACAUGGUAAGGAUUGACAGAUUGAGAGCUCUUUCUUGAUUCCGUGAAAGGUAGCGCAUGGCCGUUCUUAGUUGGUGGAGUGAUUUGUCUGGUUAAUUCCGUUAACGAACGAGACCUUGACCUGCUAACUAGUUGCGGUGGGUUCUUUUCCUUCUUCUCUUUUUUGAGAAGGGAAAUUCCAAACCUGCUGUGCGUUGCUUGCAACUCAAAAUUGCAAGCAGCCGUGAAUUCAAAAACACAACUUCUUAGAGGGACAAUCUGCGUUUUUAGCAGAGGGAAGCAAAA
rnacentral:rRNA from 1 species